rnacentral:rRNA from 2 species
CAUAGGUUAAUGAGGCGAACCGGGGGAACUGAAACAUCUAAGUACCCCGAGGAAAAGAAAUCAACCGAGAUUCCCCCAGUAGCGGCGAGCGAACGGGGAGGAGCCCAGAGCCUGAAUCAGCAUGUGUGUUAGUGGAAGCGUCUGGAAAGGCGCGCGAUACAGGGUGACAGCCCCGUACACAAAAGCGCAUGUGCUGUGAGCUCGAUGAGUAGGGCGGGACACGUGGUAUCCUGUCUGAAUAUGGGGGGACCAUCCUCCAAGGCUAAAUACUCCUGACUGACCGAUAGUGAACCAGUACCGUGAGGGAAAGGCGAAAAGAACCCCGGCGAGGGGAGUGAAAAAGAACCUGAAACCGUGUACGUACAAGCAGUGGGAGCCCCACCACUAAGCCAGUGGUGAACUCCACAUACGCAUCCUUUGCUGAGGAUACGGUUAACGGAG